CCUACGGGAGGCUGCAGUGGGGAAUAUUGGACAAUGGGGGCAACCCUGAUCCAGCCAUGCCGCGUGUGUGAAGAAGGCCCUCGGGUUGUAAAGCACUUUCAGUGAGGAAGAAAGCCUGGUGGUUAAUACCCAUCAGGAAAGACAUCACUCACAGAAGAAGCACCGGCUAACUCCGUGCCAGCAGCCGCGGUAAUACGGAGGGUGCGAGCGUUAAUCGGAAUUACUGGGCGUAAAGCGCGCGUAGGUGGCUUGAUAAGCCGGUUGUGAAAGCCCCGGGCUCAACCUGGGAACGGCAUCCGGAACUGUCAAGCUAGAGUGCAGGAGAGGAAGGUAGAAUUCCCGGUGUAGCGGUGAAAUGCGUAGAGAUCGGGAGGAAUACCAGUGGCGAAGGCGGCCUUCUGGACUGACACUGACACUGAGGUGCGAAAGCGUGGGUAGCAAACAGGAUUAGAUACCCCAGUAGUC
rnacentral:rRNA from 1 species